CGGGUGGUAAUGCCGGAUGCUCCGACUCCUCGCAUGGGGUGUCGGGAAAGAUUUCAUCGGUAUGGGAUGGGGUCGCGUCCUAUCAGGUAGUCGGCGGGGUAACGGCCCACCGAGCCUACGACGGGUAGCCGGCCUGAGAGGGCGACCGGCCACAUUGGGACUGAGAUACGGCCCAGACUCCUACGGGAGGCAGCAGUGGGGAAUAUUGCACAAUGGGCGCAAGCCUGAUGCAGCGACGCCGCGUGCGGGAUGACGGCCUUCGGGUUGUAAACCGCUUUUGAUCGGGAGCAAGCCUUCGGGUGAGUGUACCUUUCGAAUAAGCACCGGCUAACUACGUGCCAGCAGCCGCGGUAAUACGUAGGGUGCGAGCGUUAUCCGGAAUUAUUGGGCGUAAAGGGCUCGUAGGCGGUUCGUCGCGUCCGGUGUGAAAGUCCAUCGCUUAACGGUGGAUCUGCGCCGGGUACGGGCGGGCUGGAGUGCGGUAGGGGAGACUGGAAUUCCCGGUGUAACGGUGGAAUGUGUAGAUA
rnacentral:rRNA from 1 species